AAUAAGCACCGCUGUAGGUUUUAGUCUCCAACUUUAUCAAUCCGUUUUAUUUAAAAUAUUUUUUAUGAUUAGUAUUUUCAUUGUUAUAAGAUGGUAGAAUAUUAAUAGUACUUUAUAUUUGACUUAACUUUUAAAAUUUUUUUAUAAAUUUUUUAAAUAAGACGGACGAUCAAACGUUGGGUAUGAAAAUUUAUGAGUGCACUUAUA
rfam:Oryza glumipatula chromosome 4, whole genome shotgun sequence.